rnacentral:rRNA from 1 species
UACGUAGGGUGCGAGCGUUGUCCGGAAUUAUUGGGCGUAAAGAGCGUGUAGGCGGUUCGGUAAGUCUGCCGUGAAAACCUGGGGCUCAACCCUGGGCGUGCGGUGGAUACUGCCGGGCUAGAGGGUGGUAGAGGCGAGUGGAAUUCCCGGUGUAGCGGUGAAAUGCGCAGAUAUCGGGAGGAACACCUAUGGCGAAGGCAGCUCGCUGGGACGUUACUGACGCUGAGACGCGAAAGCGUGGGGAGCAAACAGG